ACACUGAUGGUGAAGUGGUUAUCAUGCUUGCCUUCCACGGUCACGUGAGCAAGCGGCAGGGGUUCGAUUCCCCUUCAGUGUA
rnacentral:tRNA from 1 species